rnacentral:lncRNA from 1 species
GCGGCCCCACGCCUCUCGCAUUGUCCCCGCCGUGUGCGGGCGGCCGCUCCUUCAGCGGCUUUACAUCGCCCGCUCUGUUUGCUUUCCUCCCCGGCGUGUGACGCCAGGCGAAAUACUGGCCAUAUGUUCGGCGGAUGGGUGAAGAAAAGCCAGUGGAGCCAGUGGUGCUAUCUGACUUUCCUGAAGCUGUGGACAGAGUGAUACCAGUUUGACAGAGGAUCCUCCUAAAGGUUUUUGUACGCCAUUUGCACUUGUGAUGUUUGGCUAAGAAUUGCCAUGGAAGAUGCUUCAGAAGGAUCCAGCUCUCAGUGGGCCUGCCAGGACAAACUAAAGUAUCUGGGAUUUGAAGCCAUGGAGGAAGCAGGACAAACCACUGGCUGGCAGGGCAUGGGUAGAUGGUAAGUUGUGAUGUGCUCCUCCUCUUCUCUGAAGCCCGUUUCAUUGGGUUUUGUUUGUUUGUUUUUAAGUAGUUAUGUUAGAUAAUGACUCUCAAGUUUCUUUUUUUUUUUCCUCUCAGUACAACUAAGUCAACUCUUUUGCUUAUGAGAUAGCGUUAUACACCCCAUUUAUUCCAAUAGUAGGUCACAUUAUAUACUAAUCAGGAUGCUAAAUACUCUCUGUAAACCCAAGUUUUUCAUCAAAGGAAAAGACCUGAGUGAACAGUUGAGUCAAGUAAUGAAUAUCAGGA